UCCCUAUGGGGUGCAGCAGGCGCGAAACCUCCUCAAUGCACUAACGUGCGAAGGGGUUACCUCGAGUGCUAUCUGAAGAAGGUGGCUUUUCCUUGGUCUAAAAAGCCUUGGGAAUAAGAGGGGGGCAAGACUGGUGUCAGCCGCCGCGGUAACACCAGCCCCUCGAGUGGUGGGGAUGAUUAUUUGGCCUAAAGCGUCCGUAGCCGGCCGGAUAAGUUUCCCGUUAAAUCCAGCGUCUCAAGCGUUGGACUGCGGGAAAUACUGUCUGGCUAGAGAGUGGGAGAGGUCAGCGGUAUUCUGGGGGUAGGGGCGAAAUCCUUUGAUCCCCGGAGGACCACCAGUGGCGAAGGCUGCUGACUAGAACACGUCUGACGGUCAGGGACGAAAGCUGGGGUAGCGAACCGGAUUAGAUACCCGGGUAGUCCCAGCCGUAAACGAUGCAUGCUAGGUGUUGGGUUGGCCACGAGCCACCCCAGUGCCGCAGGGAAGCCGUUAAGCAUGCCGCCUGGGAAGUACGAUCGCAAGGUUGAAACUUAAAGGAAUUGGCGGGGGAGCACCACCAGGCGUGAAGCCUGCGGUUUAAUUGGAGUCAACGCCGGAA
rnacentral:rRNA from 1 species